GCCCGGAUGGUGGAAUUGGUAGACACGCAGGACUUAAAAUCCUGUGACAAUUGCGGUCGUGCGGGUUCAAGUCCCGCCCCGGGUA
rnacentral:tRNA from 1 species